ensembl:snoRNA
CUAGCACUUUCACAGAUCUUCCCCUAGGCAGUAGGGCCAGGAUUUGGUAGCUGGUGCUGAAAGAAAACCGUUGAUUGUAUCUUUGCCAAGGUACUAUAUACUGGUGGCAAUUGACAUUCAACGGGACAGAA